rnacentral:misc_RNA from 1 species
AAGUCGUAACAAGGUUUCCGUAGGUGAACCUGCGGAAGGAUCAUUACCGAGUUCAUGCCCUUCGGGGUAGAUCUCCCCACCCUUUGUAUACUAUACCUUUGUUGCUUUGGCGGGCCGCCUAGCUACUGGCUUCGGCUGGUAAGUGCCCGCCAGAGAACCCAAAACCCUGAAUUAUUAGUGUCGUCUGAGUAAAAUUUUAAUAUUUAAAACUUUCAACAACGGAUCUCUUGGCUCUG